rnacentral:rRNA from 1 species
AGAGUUUGAUCAUGGCUCAGAAUCAACGCUGGCGGCGUGCCUCAGACAUGCAAGUCGAACGAUUAAGACUUCCUUCGGGAAGUGCAUAAAGUGGCGCACGGGUGAGUAACACGUAAGUAAUCUACCUUCGAGUGGGGAAUAACGUCCGGAAACGGACGCUAAUACCGCAUAAUGCAGCGGCAUCGUAAGAUGACAGUUGUUAAAGGAGCAAUUCGCUUGAAGAGGAGCUUGCGGCAGAUUAGCUAGUUGGUAAGGUAAUGGCUUACCAAGGCUACGAUCUGUAACCGGUCUAAGAGGACGGUCGGUCACACUGACACUGAAUAACGGGUCAGACUCCUACGGGAGGCAGCAGUCGGGAAUUUUGGGCAAUGGGCGAAAGCCUGACCCAGCAACGCCGCGUGAAGGAUGAAGUAUUUCGGUAUGUAAACUUCGAAAGAAUAGGAAGAAUAAAUGACGGUACUAUUUAUAAGGUCCGGCUAACUACGUGCCAGCAGCCGCGGUAAUACGUAGGGACCAAGCGUUGUUCGGAUUUACUGGGCGUAAAGGGCGCGUAGGCGGCAAUUCAAGUCAUCUGUGAAAUCUCCGGGCUUAACUCGGAACGGUCAGAUGAUACUGCUUUGCUCGAGUGCGGAAGGGGCAAUCGGAAUUCUUGGUGUAGCGGUGAAAUGCAGAUAUCAAGAGGAACACCUGAGGUGAAGACGGGUUGCUGGGCCGACACUGACGCUGAAGCGCGAAAGCUAGGGGAGCAAACGGGAUUAGAUACCCCGGUAGUCC